CUGUAAUUCAAGUUACCCGGAAAGUUCAAUUUCAUGUGUGAUUAUUAUUGCCUAUUGAAAGUGCAUCUGAUUUGUUAUAACAGGAACCCUGUAGGGGAAAUAAUUGUAUGUUGUUAGCAAUGAAUAUAUGUAAACCUUUAAAAAUGAAUUAAUGUUUUUGAUAUAGCAUGUUUAAUUCAAGCUAGUCUGUGUUCAAUUAUUGGAAGCAGGGAGUGAACGCUCUAAGAAAUAAAAUAACCUAGGGUGAAACACCUUAUUUUAUGAAAAACUAAUUUUUAGGAGCAUUUUCUUUUAUACUAUGUAAAAAAAUCCCUGAAAGAUGAACAGACUUUGACAGCUGUUAUAGGUGAGAGCCUCAAGUAAAGAUAAAAUUAAAUGUUUUCCUUAAAUGCUAUUGCCCAAAUAAUGAAUAUCCAUAAUUGAAAACUGAGAUUACCUUAUACUUUGCUUUGUUCUCUCUGCCAGAGUCCUACCCACUGUAUUAGUUGUUAGAGUUGUGGAACUUAACCGAAGCUUUCUCUGGAUUCCAGAUGUUUUAAGAAUAUUUUCAGCUGCAUGGCUUGACAGCCUUGGGAUUCCCUCACACAUUCACAGUCUUUUUUGGAUCAGUCUGAUGUGAGCAUGAAAACUGGGAGUUGUGGAGCCCACUUAGGAAAUGAUUGCAAUUGUCCAGGAGACAGAUGAUGGUAAUUAAGUUUCCAUCAGCCUGGAACUCAGGACAGAAGAUACAUAUUCUGUAUGUAGAGAAUCACUGGAGGUCAAAUGUCUUUGCCAAUUUGAGUUUUUCCACUUGAACAAGAAAAGACUGUCAAGGGAAAGCCAAUCAAUUUCACAAUGUUUAGCCUUAGAGCCACUCAACAGUCCUGUUUGGGCCAGUCUCCUGGAAUAUGAGAAAAGAUGAAGAAUGGGAGUGUUAUGGAGGGCAUACGCCCCUCUGAUCAUCACCACAAAGAGUGGAGCCCUUCAUGGUCCCAGCUGAAAGCCUGGAGAGGCUGCGCGCGGUGGCUCACGCCUGUAAUCCCAACGCUUUGAGAGGCCAAGGCAGGUGGAUCACUUGAGCGCAGGAAUUCAAGACCAGCCUGGGCAACAUGGCAAAACCCCAUCUCUACAAAAAGUACAAAAAUUAACCGGGCGUGGUGGUGGGUGCCUGUAGUCCCAGAUACUCCGGAGGCUGACGCAGGAGAAUCGCUUGAACCUGGGAGGCG
rnacentral:lncRNA from 1 species